UACGUAGGGUGCAAGCGUUAAUCGGAAUUACUGGGCGUAAAGCGUGCGCAGGCGGUUUUGUAAGACUGUCGUGAAAUCCCCGGGCUUAACCUGGGAAUGGCGAUGGUGACUGCAAGGCUAGGAGUUUGGCAGAGGGGGGUAGAAUUCCACGUGUAGCAGUGAAAUGCGUAGAGAUGUGGAGGAAUACCGAUGGCGAAGGCAGCCCCCUGGGAUAACAACUGACGCUCAUGCGACGAAAGCGUGGGGAGCAAACAGG
rnacentral:rRNA from 1 species